GUUUCUGUAUAGAUAACAAUAUCCUGUUUCCAGUUACGCAAACACUUAACAUUUCGUUUAUAAAUAACUUUGAAUGUGAUGUCAUCGUGAUGAUUUCAAUAAAAUGCAACAGGGAGGGAUGGAAAAUUCAUUGUUUUGCGCGAGGUUUGAACUCGCAUAAAAGGAUUCGGCCAUUUGGGGUCGUCACCCUCUAGAACAAUUUACCAUGGACUGCAUCACUCACGAC